rnacentral:rRNA from 1 species
CCUACGGGAGACAGCAGUGGGGAAUAUUGCACAAUGGGGGGAACCCUGAUGCAGCGACGCCGCGUGAGUUCCUCACUAUUUCGUUAUUUCCCGCUCUCUCAGCAGUGAAGAAAAUGACGGUACCUGACUAAGAAGCCCCGGCUAACUACGUGCCAGCAGCCGCGGUAAUACGUAGGGGGCACGCGUUAUCCGGAUUUACUGGGUGUAAAGGGAGCGUAGACGGUUAUGCAAGUCUGAAGUGAAAGCCCAAGGCUCAACCAUGGGACUGCUUUGGAAACUGUAAAACUGGAGUGCAGGAGAGGUAAGCGGAAUUCCUAGUGUAGCGGUGAAAUGCGUAGAUAUUAGGAGGAACACCAGUGGCGAAGGCGGCUUACUGGACUGUAACUGACGUUGAGGCUCGAAAGCGCGGGUAUCGAACAGGAUUAGAUACCCGUGUAGUC